rnacentral:snRNA from 1 species
UUGCUUCUGCAGCACAUAUACUAAAAUUGGAAUGAUACAGAGAAGAUAAGCAUAUCCCCUGCUCAAGGAUGACACACAAAUUCAUAAGGAGUUUCAUAUUUAA